GACGAACGCUGGCGGCGUGCUUAACACAUGCAAGUCGAACGGAAAGGCCCUGCGUUCGUGGUCUGCUCGAGUGCCGAACGGGUGAGUAACACGUGUGUAACCUGCUCUUGUCUUUGGGAUAACUUCAGGAAACUGGGGUUAAUAUCGGAUAGGAUCUCCCGUUGCAUGGUGGGGGGUGGAAAGUCUCGGCGGUAGGGGAUGGAUGGGCGGCUGACCAGCUUGUUGGUGGGGUAGUGGCUGACCGAGGCAUUGACGGAUAGGCGGCCUGAGAGGGUGACCGGCCACAAUGGGACUGAGGAAGGGACCAGACUCGAACGGGAGACAGCAGGGGGGAGUAUGGCACAGUGAGAGGAAGCCUGAGGCAGAGACGCCGCGUGCGGAAUGACGGCCUUCGGGUUGUGAACCGCUUUCGCCUGAGACGAAGCGGGAGUGACGGUAAUGGAUAAAGAAGCACCGGCUAACUACGUG
rnacentral:rRNA from 1 species